GCGUCCGGACGACCGGAUGCAUGACAACCAUGCAGGACGACCUGC
rnacentral:ncRNA from 1 species